GUGCGUGUGUGUGAGUAUGUGUGUGUGUGUGUGUGUGUACAGGAGGGUGUUAUUUUAAAUAAGGUGUUUGAGGAAGACCACACUGACAAAGUGACAUCUAAGCAAAGGCUGGGAGGAGGACAGCAUAAGUUCUGAGAGGAAAGGUGACCCAGACUGAGGCAGCCAAUGCUAUGCUCUGUGUGGGACUUGCUUGGAGUGAUCAAAGCCAGUAAGGAGAUUUGUAUGGCUAUAGCAGAGUACGGAGGGGAAAGUGGUAGAAGAGGUCAGUGACCAAAGGAAAAGGCUAAGGAGGACCUUCAAGCUACUGGAAGUACUUGGCUUUUCUUCUAAGUGACAUAGGAAGGUUGUUGUCAUAAAGUGGCUACCUGGCUUAUAACAACUUUAACAAGGCUGUUCCGGGCCAAACUCAGGUACCAUGGAGUUACCACUCCUGAGGAACACUCUUAUCUUUCUACGUGGGAGAACUACAUGGAUGACCAGCAGUGGUAUUACAACGCUUCCACGAAGCAGCUGUAGGAAGUUGGUCUUCUUUACCAUAGGGUGA
rnacentral:lncRNA from 1 species